rnacentral:misc_RNA from 1 species
UGACAAUCAGAUCAUGUGAACAGCUCCCCCUUCUCUUCUUUUAUGUCUCUCUCUCUCUCGUCGACUUCUCUUCCUAACCUUUUCUCCAUAAACGCGGGCAAUAGCUUAAGCCCACUAACCAUGGAACACCCCAGCUGGAUCAGUGCACGUCCGGUGACCUACAUGAAUGGCAAACUGCAACUGCAGGUGAGGAGGAUCCAUCAACGCUUGAAGGAAGAACAGGGUCAUGCAUUUUUGGGUCAGCCAGUUCUAAUGUGGAUUUCAGCUAUCUCCGGUGACCAACUGGCGAGGGGUCGACGGCACUUGACUCUGGCGAUGUAGGGGAAGCUUUCCCCACCGGAAGCAUAGAAAUCGAUGGAGUUUCUGGUAAAAAUGAAGAGAAAGAAAGAGGAGAGAGAAAAUAGUGGUAACGGUCCGACCAUUUUUUUGGCUAUCCAACGGUCAAAGAGGCUAUCUGAACUCAGCGCACCGAAAUCUUUGAUAUGAGAUCAACCUUGCUCCGAUCAGACACCGUUUUGAAAAGGUGAUAAUCAGACGAUAAUUAUUAAUAAUUUAUGGGCUUCAUUAGGUGCGAUCGAAUCAGCGAUAACUCACUGGCACUUAACUCACUGGCACUUAAGAUCAAGUUUUUCAGCCCAAUUUAGAGGCCUGGUAGGUCGACCUAGAAAGUGGUCAUGAUUAUAGUCAUUUCCAGACGUUUCGUAAGCAUUUCAGAUAGUAAAAUUUGUAAAGGUAGUCUCUAACUCAAGUUGUGUAGUUUUUACCUUAAUUAAACUAACUGGUUAAAUCUUUAAAAUAUUAUUUGUUGAGUAAAAUUAAGUAAAAUGAAUUUAGUUAAUACAAGGAUGAGGUAGAGGACCUCUAGGAAUUUUUUUUAUAUAAUUUUUAAAGUGUUGGAAAUAAUUGUUUGGACUGUAGAGGAGUUAGGGACCUGAGCUGGAGUUUGGAUGAUUGAACUCAUAUUAGGUUCUUGUAGGCACCCUGGAUGGCCAUGUGAUGCUAUUGUUGUGGGCCCGAGGCCUUGUGUGCUGUGUUUAUUUGAGUUUUCUUUUAGAGAGUUAGGUCCAGUUAUAGGUGAGACUCUGUCGAAAUUUCGGCAAGACCUUAGGAUUUAUUCUUACUUUUGUAAAUUAAAUUAAAUUAAAUG